rnacentral:tRNA from 1 species
GCAGUGGUGGUUCAGUGGUAAGAAUUCUUGUGUUCCAUGCGGGAGACCACGGUUCAAUUCCUGGCCAAUGCA